rnacentral:tmRNA from 1 species
GGGGGUGACUGGUUUCGACUUGGGACGGUAGUCCCAGGAGAAGCGGGCCGAGGAGCCAGCGACAUCUCGUAAACGAACGCUGGAAAACACAACUGCCGACAACAAUCGCGCAGACUUCGCUCUCGCUGCCUGAUCAGCGAUCGAAGGGUCAGCCCGGGUGUAGCCUUCCGCCCGGUUCCUGGCCUCAUCUAGGAGGCUUGCUGGUCGUCUGACGCCUUGGCGGACGAUCGGGACUCAACCAGGGCUGGGCCUGUCCGCGACGUGCCGAUGAUGAGCGCGGGGGCCAAGGAGAACGACACCAUCGGCUGCGCCCGGAGAAGACCUGGUUCGCCUCUCGAGGACGCGGGUUCGACUCCCGCCACCUCCACCC